CCCUGGGGACGACCCCGGGGCGCGCACUAUCUCCGCGGGGACGACCCCG
rfam:Luteibacter sp. 22Crub2.1 genome assembly, contig: H037DRAFT_scaffold00011.11